rnacentral:rRNA from 1 species
CCUACGGGUGGCAGCAGUCGAGAAUCAUUCACAAUGGGGGAAACCCUGAUGGUGCGACGCCGCGUGGGGGAAUGAAGGUCUUCGGAUUGUAAACCCCUGUCAUGUGUGAGCAAAUUAAAAAGAUAGUACCACAAGAGGAAGAGACGGCUAACUCUGUGCCAGCAGCCGCGGGAAUACAGAGGUCUCAAGCGUUGUUCGGAAUCACUGGGCGUAAAGCGUGCGUAGGCUGUUUCGUAAGUCGUGUGUGAAAGGCGCGGGCUCAACCCGCGGACGGCACAUGAUACUGCGAGACUAGAGUAAUGGAGGGGGAACCGGAAGUCUCGGUGUAGCAGUGAAAUGCGUAGAUAUCGUGAGGAACACUCGUGGCGAAGGCGGGUUCCUGGACAUUAACUGACGCUGAGGCACGAAGGCCAGGGGAGCGAAAGGGAUUAGAUACCCCAGUAGUC